rnacentral:rRNA from 1 species
GACGAACGCUGGCGGCGUGCUUAACACAUGCAAGUCGAACGAAGAGCGAUGGAAGCUUGCUUCUAUCAAUCUUAGUGGCGAACGGGUGAGUAACGCGUAAUCAACCUGCCCUUCAGAGGGGGACAACAGUUGGAAACGACUGCUAAUACCGCAUACGAUCCAAUCUCGGCAUCGGGACUGGAUGAAAGGUGGCCUCUAUUUAUAAGCUAUCACUGAAGGAGGGGAUUGCGUCUGAUUAGCUAGUUGGAGGGGUAACGGCCCACCAAGGCGAUGAUCAGUAGCCGGUCUGAGAGGAUGAACGGCCACAUUGGGACUGAGACACGGCCCAGACUCCUACGGGAGGCAGCAGUGGGGAAUCUUCCGCAAUGGACGAAAGUCUGACGGAGCAACGCCGCGUGAGUGAUGACGGCCUUCGGGUUGUAAAGCUCUGUUAAUCGGGACGAAUGGUUCUUGUGCGAAUAGGGCGAGGCUUUGACGGUACCGGAAUAGAAAGCCACGGCUAACUACGUG